UACGUAGGGUGCAAGCGUUGUCCGGAAUUAUUGGGCGUAAAGAGCUCGUAGGCGGUUCGUCGCGUCGGCUGUGAAAACCUGAGGCUCAACCUCAGGCCUGCAGUCGAUACGGGCGGACUAGAGUGCGGUAGGGGAGAUUGGAAUUCCUGGUGUAGCGGUGGAAUGCGCAGAUAUCAGGAGGAACACCAAUGGCGAAGGCAGAUCUCUGGGCCGUAACUGACGCUGAGGAGCGAAAGCAUGGGGAGCGAACAGG
rnacentral:rRNA from 1 species